AGGGUUGGGUGGUAUUGUGCAUGACUAAAUUGAUCUCUCUUCAGAAUUUCUAGUUGAACAUCAGGGCAAUUUUCAAGCAUGAAUGCUCCGUUCUCUGUUAACAUUUGAGAUUCCUUUAGGGUCUUAAUGAUGUUCUGAAGGUUUGAAAUUCGGUUUUUUUUUUUGUCUCCUGUUUUUUUGAAGGUUCUGUCUGUUUUUUUGUGUGUGUUUAUUAAUUUGUUUUAUUGCUUUAAGCAGCCGUCCAGUGAGAAUCUUUGGGCUGGCAAAGCAAUAGCUGUGCUCAUCCGUUUUGGGGACAUCAAGACGAGUGUGAGUUGAGCAGGCAUUAUUUAAAUUAAUGUGCAGGAUGCCAAGGACACAACAUUCAAAGGCCACCCUCUUAAAUUUGCAGCCAACAGGCCAAGCUGGCUUCCCCUACAUUUCUGCUGUGGAGGGAAACUGAAAAUUGUUGGCACAGCAUCUGGGCGAAGCCUGACUAUUUGUCCUGUCCUGUCUACACACUCUGCAGUGAAGUGAUCAGAGCAGAGGCAGGAGUAGGCAGAUGGCCUGAAGUUUUGCCUCCUAAGCUUCACAAGCCAUUCUCUCCGCCUGACUGGGUCUUUUGGAAAUCUAAACCCAAUAGUUGAACACAAUAAAUAUAAAGUUAGUUUGUUUGUUUAUCUAUACAUAAACAACAAUUAACAUGAUUUGAUAAAAGGGUUGUGAGAUUAAGUUAAACAUCAGCUAAAAUUAACUGGAAAAGGAAAAAUUACGUUUAACAGAGGGAUUUGUCCCAAUCUAACUUUGAGUUUGUA